CAAAACCAUGCCUUUAGCUAGCAAGAUUUCUGCAGGGCUUAUAGCUGGUGGCAUCGGUGCAGCCGUUGGAAAUCCAGCCGAUGUUGCGAUGGUCCGCAUGCAGGCAGACGGGCGUCUGCCACCAGCUCAGCGCCGGAACUACAAGAGCGUGAUCGACGCAAUCACACGCAUGGCAAAGCAAGAAGGCAUUACUAGCCUGUGGCGCGGGUCAUCGCUGACAGUCAACCGGGCUAUGCUGGUGACAGCAUCGCAGCUAGCAUCAUACGACCAAUUCAAGGAAAUGAUCCUG
rnacentral:misc_RNA from 1 species